rnacentral:rRNA from 1 species
AUUGAACGCUGGCGGCAUGCCUUACACAUGCAAGUCGAACGGCAGCACGGGAGCAAUCCUGGUGGCGAGUGGCGAACGGGUGAGUAAUGUAUCGGAACGUGCCCAGUCGUGGGGGAUAACGUAGCGAAAGCUACGCUAAUACCGCAUACGAUCUAUGGAUGAAAGCGGGGGAUCGCAAGACCUCGCGCGAUUGGAGCGGCCGAUGUCAGAUUAGGUAGUUGGUGGGGUAAAGGCCCACCAAGCCUGCGAUCUGUAGCUGGUCUGAGAGGACGCCCAGCAAAACGGGAAAUGGGACACGGUCCAGACUCCUAGGGGGGGCAGCAGGGGGGAAUUUUGAAAAAUGGGCGCAAGCCUGUUCCAGAAAUGCCGCGUGCAGGAUGAAGGCCUUCGGGUUGUAAACUGCUUUUGUACGGAACGAAACGGCUUUUUCUAAUACAGAGAGCUAAUGACGGUACCGUAAGAAUAAGCACCGGCUAACUACGUGCCAGCCGCCGCGGUAA